GACGAACGCUGGCGGCAGGCUUAACACAUGCAAGUCGAACGCCCUCUUCGGAGGGAGUGGCAGACGGGUGAGUAACGCGUGGGAACGUACCUUUUGGUUCGGAACAACUGAGGGAAACUUCAGCUAAUACCGGAUACGCCCUGAGGGGGAAAGAUUUAUCGCCGAAAGAUCGGCCCGCGUCAGAUUAGCUAGUUGGUGGGGUAAUGGCCUACCAAGGCGACGAUCUGUAGCUGUUCUGAGAGGAAGAUCAGCCACACUGGGACUGAGACACGGCCCAGACUCCUACGGGAGGCAGCAGUGGGGAAUAUUGCGCAAUGGGCGAAAGCCUGACGCAGCCACGCCGCGUGAGCGAUGAAGGCCUUCGGGUCGUAAGACUCUGUGGGAGGAGAAGAAUAAAGACCUGUGAAGAAGCAGGCCGUUGACGGUAUCUCCUUAGCAAGCACCGGCUAACUCCGUGCCAGCAGCCGCGGU
rnacentral:rRNA from 1 species